rnacentral:rRNA from 1 species
GAUGAACGCUGGCGGCGUGCCUAAUACAUGCAAGUCGAGCGAACAGACGAGGAGCUUGCUCCUCUGACGUUAGCGGCGGACGGGUGAGUAACACGUGGAUAACCUACCUAUAAGACUGGGAUAACUUCGGGAAACCGGAGCUAAUACCGGAUAAUAUAUUGAACCGCAUGGUUCAAUAGUGAAAGACGGUUUUGCUGUCACUUAUAGAUGGAUCCGCGCCGCAUUAGCUAGUUGGUAAGGUAACGGCUUACCAAGGCGACGAUGCGUAGCCGACCUGAGAGGGUGAUCGGCCACACUGGAACUGAGACACGGUCCAGACUCCUACGGGAGGCAGCAGUAGGGAAUCUUCCGCAAUGGGCGAAAGCUUGACGGAGCAACGCCGCGUGAGUGAUGAAGGUCUUCGGAUCGUAAAACUCUGUUAUUAGGGAAGAACAAAUGUGUAAGUAACUAUGCAAGUCUUGACGGUACCUAAUCAGAAAGCCACGGCUAACUACGUG